UCUAGAUUCAUGUGCCUAGCAACGGAAGCAUCUCCCUUCUCAGAACCUGGCAACUGAUGCGGUUCUUCCCAAUGGCUCUUCUACCACACCAACCAAAUUUAUUUGUUUUUAUCUUUGACGUCAGUAAGUCUAACUUCUUUCUCCACAUAUGCUACGCACCAAUGUCUCUGCAAAACAAUAAGAAAUACAACCCCAGCAGCAGCAGCAGCAGCAGCAGCAGCAGCAGCAGCAGCAGCAGCAGCAGCAGCAACAACAACAGCAAGACACUGAAAAACUGGAUUCCAUUUAGUGUUCGCCAAUUAUGUGUGAUCAUCAUGUCUGCUCACAAAUGAGUGAGUGGGGUUAGAAUACAGUUUCACUGUAUUGAAGAAAACCAAUUUUUCUUUUCCCUAGGAAAAUGCUGUUUCCUUAACCACAUAUCUUCUCUGGGUCAUAGGACCUUUACUUUUUUUCCACAAUAUUCUCUGAGUAUUGACGGGAGGUUUUUAAUAAGGACAUUGUACUUAUGGCUGAACAACCCAAGGUCCCUCACUUUCUGUGUACUGAUCACACUGUGUGGGCUUGUGUUAUUCACAGUUGAUUGAAGAAGCUUCUUUGAUGAGAGCUGAGUAACCAUGUGGUCUAUGGGUAUAGCAAUAUACCAUUAGGACUCAUUUUAUUGUAAUAUUCAUUAAGUGGAGUAAUAGUUGUAUAUGUAUCCUCCUAGGCCAUAUGAUUUAGUGAGUCUAAACAUAAGCAGUAGAAGUAUGGGUUCCAUCUCAUGACGUUUAACUUGAAUCCAAUCAGAAUGGGCUUGGUGAGCCUCUGAAGAUUCCUUCC
rnacentral:lncRNA from 1 species